rnacentral:rRNA from 1 species
UACGUAGGGUGCAAGCGUUGUCCGGAAUUAUUGGGCGUAAAGAGCUCGUAGGCGGUCUGUCGCGUCUGCUGUGAAAACCCGGGGCUCAACCCCGGGCUUGCAGUGGAUACGGGCAGACUAGAGUUCGGUAGGGGAGACUGGAAUUCCUGGUGUAGCGGUGAAAUGCGCAGAUAUCAGGAGGAACACCGGUGGCGAAGGCGGCAUCCUGGACCGACACUGACGCUGAGGAGCGAAAGCCAGGGGAGCAAACGGG